rnacentral:rRNA from 1 species
GUAACCACUGAAAGAUUAAAGCAAAGGGACACUCUGAAAGGGCAUGACCCGGGCGUUGGUAGACCCGGGCGAAAGGGACCGAAAUUUAGUAGGGAAGCAUGCUUAGACGGAGGCGAGAAAAGCUUUGUGUAUAUCUGAGGUGCCCGUACCGCAAACCGACACAGGUAGGUAGGAAGAAGAUUCUAAGGCCAACGGGAGAAGGGUUGUUAAGGAACUCGGCAAGUUGACCCCGUAACUUCGGGAUAAGGGGUGCUCUGGAGACAGAGCCGCAGAGAAUAGGUCCAGGCGACUGUUUAGCAAAAACACAGGUCUCUGCUAAAUCGAAAGAUGACGUAUAGGGGCUGACACCUGCCCGGUGCUGGAAGGUUAAGAGGAGAUGUGAGAGCAUUGAAUUGAAGCCCCAGUAAACGGCGGCCGUAACGAUAACGGUCCUAAGGUAGCGAAAUUCCUUGUCAGGUAAGUUCUGACCCGCACGAAUGGUGUAACGAUCUGGACACUGUCUCAACAGCCCGCCCGGCGAAAUUGCAGUACCGGUGAAGAUGCCGGUUACCCGCGACAAGACGGAAAGACCCCAUGGAGCUUUACUGUAGCCUAAUAUUGGAUUUCGGUAUUUCAUGUACAGAAUAGGUGGGAGACUGGGAAGACUGGACGCCAGUUCAGUUGGAGUCGACGUUGGGAUACCACUCUUGAGAUGCUGGAAUUCUAACCUGCGGCCGUGAAACCGGUCGGGGGACAUUGUUAGGUGGGCAGUUUGACUGGGGCGGUCGCCUCCGAAAGAGUAACGGAGGCGCUCAAAGGUUCGCUCAGCACGGACGGAAACCGUGCAUCAGAGUGUAAACGCAGAAGCGAGCCUAACUGCGAGACUGACGGGUCGAGCAGUAACGAAAGUUGGAGUUAGUGAUCCGGUGGUAUGUGAGUGGAAAUGCCAUCGCUCAACGGAUAAAAGCUACCCUGGGGAUAACAGGCUGAUCUCCCCCAAGAGUCCACAUCGUCGGGGAGGUUUGGCACCUCGAUGUCGGCUCAUCGCAUCCUGGGGCUGAAUUCGGUCCCAAGGGUUUGGCUGUUCGCCAAUUAAAGCGGUACGCGAGCUGGGUUCAGAACGUCGUGAGACAGUUCGGUCCCUAUCUGUCGUGGGCGCAGGAUAUUUGAGUGGAGCUGUCCCUAGUACGAGAGGACCGGGAUGGACGCACCUCUGGUGCACCAGUUGUCACGCCAGUGGCACAGCUGGGCAGCUACGUGCGGAUCGGAUAAACGCUGAAGGCAUCUAAGCGUGAAACCGGCCACAAGAUAAGAUAUCCCACUGAUUAAUCAGGUAAGACCCCUGGAAGACUAGCAGGUAGAUAGGCUCAAGGUGUAAGCGUCGUGAGGCGUUAAGCCAGCGAGUACUAAUCGGUCGAGGGCUUGAUC